rnacentral:misc_RNA from 1 species
AAAGAACCAGCAUUACUUCCCAGUGUAUCUGCUAAAUCUCCAAGGACUCCAAUUGCUGUUUUCAUGACCACAUCAUCCAUGUCUUUCUCCAUGUAUAUGCUAUCCAAGAACUGGAGGAUGUGGGGUGCGUAAGGAACCAAGAGUUGCAUUUUAGGAGAGUUCUUAAACCCUUGAAGAAUUCCUGAAUAAGCCUCCAAAAUUCCAUUUCUCAGUGAAUUUGUGUAGUCAAUCAUUUCAUCAUCGGCACCAGCUGCAUGGGCAGACAACUCUGCAGCACUUUGGAGCAUGGGCAUGGCAUACAUCAAGUACUUCUCAAAAUUCUCUCCUAUUGCCAGUGCAAUGUCACCAAAGCUCGAGAAUAUGGGAGGCUUCACAGACCGGUGCAACUGGUUGCUUGAUAAAUCUUUGAGAAGCUGUGUCAUGAUCCCAUCACAAUAAGGCAAAAUUUUAUCCUCUAAUGCCCUGCAGAUAUCCCCCACAACACCAACUGUAACAGCACAAACUUGGUACUCCUCAAAAUUUUGAAGACCCAUUUCUAAAUAUUUAAAAAACUCUGCCAUGUAUUUUGAAAAAUCUGGACCAGAUGCAUAGGCAAGGGCUCCAAUUGCUAGCAUUGCCUCCUCAUGCACAGUUGCAAGUCUGCAAGCAAAAACCCUCAGGAAAAGCCCCAUUAUCUGGUCCGCAUAUUGCAUGAACACAACCUUAGUAGGCUCUGAUGAACCUAACUUCUGAAUGAUGACUUGUAAACAUCCACAAAGUAGACCUUGCAACUCACUCUGUUUCUCUCUCUCAUCAGAUGCAAGCUUCUGCUCUUCAAGAGUUUUGUGAAGCUCUGUCAUAAUUACGGGUACCAACUGCAACACCAUGGGUGCUGUUUCAUCAGUUGAGCACCUCACAACUUCAUUCAGUGUUUCAUAAGCAGCUGUCCUCAAUCUGGACUCCCCAGCGUCUUCUCUGUGAGUAACAGUUAGAAGAGCAUGCACAAUUUCCUGGAAAUAAGGUGUCAAUGGAGAUGAUGGACCUGCCUCUUCAUAACCUUGGGCAAGGAAAUAGAGGGCACCACAUGCCUUCUCAGCCACAUUUGGAACAUCCUUCAUGCUCUGAAGCAGAACUGUGAUGAUCUGUUGGCAAUUUGCUUGAGUAAUUAUAGGUGUGUCCACAGUUGAACCAUGAAGGAAUUCAAAAAUCCGCCCUAGAGUCCAAGCAGUAGUGUCUUUCACAUGGUUAUUUGGGUCCUUCGUUAAAGCAGUGAGCAUGAAAUUCAAAGCAACAUUAACAAUAGAUGUCAACUUGUCAGGGGAAGGUCCCUCCAAGAUAGAGCCAAAAGCAUAUGUGGCUGC